GGGCGCUUAGCUCAGCUGGUUCAGAGCAUCUGGUUUAGAACCAGAGGUUCGGGGGUUCGUAUCCCGCAGCGCCCA
rnacentral:tRNA from 1 species